rnacentral:rRNA from 1 species
UAAUACGAAGGGAGCUAGCGUUGUUCGGAAUCACUGGGCGUAAAGCGCACGUAGGCGGAUGUGUCAGUCAGGGGUGAAAUCCCGGAGCUCAACUUCGGAACUGCCCUUGAUACAGCACGUCUUGAGUCCGAGAGAGGUGGAUGGAAUUCCUAGUGUAGAGGUGAAAUUCGUAGAUAUUAGGAAGAACACCGGUGGCGAAGGCGGUCCACUGGCUCGGUACUGACGCUGAGGUGCGAAAGCGUGGGGAGCAAACAGG